rnacentral:rRNA from 1 species
CAGCCGCCGCGGGAAAACGUAGGUGGCAAGCGUUGUCCGGAAUUAUUGGGCGUAAAGGGUGCGUAGGCGGUUUCGCAAGUCUUGUGUGAAAUCUAUGGGCUCAACCCAUAGUCUGCAUAGGAAACUGCGAGGCUUGAGGAUGGGAGAGGUGAGUGGAAUUUCCGGUGUAGCGGUGAAAUGCGUAGAUAUCGGAAGGAACACCUGUGGCGAAAGCGGCUCACUGGACCAUUUCUGACGCUGAUGCACGAAAGCUAGGGGAGCAAACAGGAUUAGAUACCCCUGUAGUCCCUGUCUCUUAUAC